rnacentral:rRNA from 1 species
CCUACGGGCGGCAGCAGUCGAGAAUCAUUCACAAUGGGGGAAACCCUGAUGGUGCGACGCCGCGUGGGGGAAUGAAGGUCUUCGGAUUGUAAACCCCUGUCAUGUGGGAGCAAAUUAAAAAGAUAGUACCACAAGAGGAAGAGACGGCUAACUCUGUGCCAGCAGCCGCGGUAAUACAGAGGUCUCAAGCGUUGUUCGGAAUAACUGGGCGUAAAGCGUGCGUAGGCUGUUUCGUAAGUCGUGUGUGAAAGGCGCGGGCUCAACCCGCGGACGGCACAUGAUACUGCGAGACGAGAGGAAUGGAGGGGGAACCGGAAUUCUCGGUGUAGCAGUGAAAUGCGUAGAUAUCGAGAGGAACACUCGUGGCGAAGGCGGGUUCCUGGACAUUAACUGACGCUGAGGCACGAAGGCCAGGGGAGCGAAAGGGAUUAGAUACCCCUGUAGUC